UACAGAGGUCUCAACCGUUGUUCGGAUUCAUUGGGCGUAAAGGGUGCGUAGGCGGUCGCGCAAGUCGGAUGUGAAAUCUCAGGGCUCAACCCUGAAACUGCAUUCGAUACUGCGUGGCUAGAGUGCUGGAGGGGAGACUGGAAUUUACGGUGUAGCAGUGAAAUGCGUAGAUAUCGUAAGGAAGACCAGUGGCGAAGGCGAGUCUCUGGACAGCAACUGACGCUGAGGAGCGAAAGCGUGGGUAGCAAACAGG
rnacentral:rRNA from 1 species